rnacentral:lncRNA from 1 species
UGUGUAAAUUAAAUUAAGGAAAAACUUCAAAUACAAUCCCUGUAGUUUAAUAUUUUUUUACUUUAGUAUUCUGUGAUUUAGAGUGUAUCACUUUCAUACUUUGUAGUUUUAUUUUUCUCGUUUUGUUAUACUUCCUACUAAUUUUUGUUUGUUAAAUCGGUGACAAAGUUAAAACUAAAAGGUACUAAAGUAAAUAUUUGAUAAGUUAUAGGUAGGUAUCUAAAGUUUUUUUUAUGUGAUUUAACGAAAAGUUAAUGGAGGGGCUGGCGAAAAGAGAAAAAAAAAACUAUAGGGGUACUAAAUUGAUACACUUUAAAUCACUGGAUAAUAAAAUGAAAAAAGUAUGAAAUUACAGGAAUUGUAUUUGAAGUUUACCCAGCUAAUAUGUUAUUAAAUUAAUAUGUUUGGUCGAAUUAUUAUGGAAAUUAUUUUAUG